rnacentral:misc_RNA from 1 species
GUUGAAAUCUAAAGAAACAGAGCAACGAAGCAAACAAGAGAGUGAAAUACGAAGAAGCAGAAAAUACAAACUCAAAAUUUUUUUUCUCUCUAUAUUUUCCAUACCUUCUCUUCAACUCCUCCUUUCAGCUAUGCUUUCUUUUAGCCCGCUCUCAUGUGUUUGCUCCUUAUCUCUCUUUUCACCAAUAUCACAGUUUUUCACUUAUGGGACUUCGCAAUCUCUUCUCCAUUUUCUCCACGAAUAGCCACUCCCAUGAAAACAAUAUCCUCCCUUCUUACAGUCCCAUUCGGGACAAUCUCCUCAAGAGACCUGAAAACUCCCACAGUGAUGGGUUCCCAAAAUCUGUUGUUAAAUACUUGCGCAGCCUUAUGUCAGGAAAGAAAGUUGACGGAGGGUCAAGGACGGACGAAGAAGAGAAAGUUUAUUCUUGGCUAUAUGCAUUGGCUCAAUCAGAUAAAGAUUUGGUUUAUGAAUAUGUUCAGUCCACAGAAAGGGGAUUGAGCUUCACUGAAGCAGAAAGAAGACUGAAAGAAAAUGGGCCAAAUGUUCCUCUUGAAUAUUCAUUUCCAAGCUGGUGGCAUCUUCUUUGGACUGCCUUUUUCCAUCCUUUCAAUAUCAUUUUGAUUGUGCUAUCAACUCUAUCAUACAUAACCAGUGACAAUCCAAAUGGAUACAUCUUGCUUAUACUGGUUUUAAUCAGUGUCUGCCUCAGAUUCUACCAGGUACCAUUUGUCUAAUUUGUUUAGUCAAACAAUUGCCUUCUCUAAUUCUCAAACUAUUUUUCAUGAACAUUAGGAAUACAUUAGUUCAAAAGCUGCCAUGAAGCUCUAUGAGUUUGUUAAGCAUCCAGUGAAAGUUCAAAGAUGUGCGGGUAGAGUUGUUCAGACAGAGUUACUAGUUCAAGUUGAUCAAAGAGAUGUUGUUCCAGGGGACAUCGUCAUUUUUGAGCCGGGGGACCUGUUUCCAGGAGAUGUGAGAUUAUUAUCGUCGAAGCACCUUGUUGUAAGUCCUCACUAACUGGCGAAUCCUGGACAACUGAAAAAACAGCUGAUACUAAAGAAAAUCAGAGUACUCCUUUGCUAGAGUUGAAGAAUAUUUGUUUCGUGGGAACAAACGUGGUAUCAGGUAGCGGGACUGGUCUGGUUGUUUCUACUGGAUCCAAGACUUAUAUGAGCACCAUGUUUUCAACUAUAGGGAAACAAAAACCACCAGAUGGCUUCGAGAAUGGCAUCCGGCAUACUUCCUAUGUGCUUAUUGGUGUUAUGAUAAUAGUAAUGACAAUAAUAAUUAUGGCUUAUUACCUGAAAUCUCAUUCUUUGAGCGAGAGUAUUCUUUUUGGAAUCUCAGUGGCGUGUGCGCUUACUCCUAAUAUGCUUCCCCUUAUUGUUAACACAAGUCUUGCAAAAGGAGCACUGGCCAUGGCUAGAGACAGAUGCAUUGUCAAAAGCUUAGCUACCAUACGUGAUAUGGGAUCCAUGGACAUCCUAUGCAUGGACAAGACUGGUACACUCACCAUGAACCGUGCAAUUGUGGUUAAUCAUCUUGACAGUUGGGGUUCACCGAAAGAAAAGGUUUUACGCUUUGCAUUCCUUAACUCUUACUUCAAGACUGAUCAAAAGUAUCCUCUAGAUGAUGCAAUUUUGGCAUUUGUAUACACAAAUGGAUACAGAUUCCAACCAUCCAAAUAUAGAAAAAUAGAUGAGAUCUCUUUUGAUUUUAUACGAAGACGAGUAUCUGUUAUUUUGGAAGCUGAAUCCAAUGCAGAAAGCAGAAAUGGCCUAGUUCUUGAGAGGAUCAUGGUAACCAAGGGAGCAUUGGAAGAAAUAAUGAAAGUUUGCUCUUUUAUUGACCAUAUUGGUACUGGCACCAUGACCACUUUCACUGAAGAAGACUAUCACAGGAUUAUAAAUAUAGGAGAAGAAUUAAGCAAACAGGGGCUGAGAGUUAUAGGAGUUGCAAUGAAAAGGUUAGAAAUGGUAUGUCUGGAUCACUUUUUGGCUCAGUUCUUCUCUCUUAAACUAUUUGUUAUAUCUCACAAUGUCUUCUAGCUGUUUCCAUGUUUCAUGAGCUUGGUUAAUUUCCCAAAACAUAAACUUAUAUAUCAUCCCUUUUCUUCGUACACAGUAUUUGCAACAUCUAUAAUUAACAGACUAAAAAUUGUUUACUAAACAGGUCAUCUCCUUGUAUUGUCUUGCCAAUUGGUUAUUUCUGCUGCUUCUUGAACCGAAAGCCAUUUGAUUCAAGUUGAACCACUAUCAUUCUCUUGGAAGUAUCAUUUUCAUGGUCGUUUUGGCUGUAUUCUUGUCAUUUAGGCAUUAUGGCAUUCGAAAUGCGAGUAUCAUAGCUUUCUAGGAUAUGAAGUUGGCAAUCUUUAGAAUUAUACACAUUGCAAAAGAACAUGUAGAAGAAGGUGAAAGCACGCUGCAUGCUAAUAGGAGUGCAGGAUCUCUUUCCAAUAGCCAACUCCAACUAGAUUGGGAUUAAGGCCUGGGUUGUGUUUGAGCGAAGUUCUCGUACAUUACCGUUUUGUUUGCAAUGUUGCAGGAAAGAAGUGAUCCAAGCAACACCAAUGAUGAGUUUACCGAAUCAGACAUGGUCUUCCUUGGAGUAAUUACAUUCUUUGACCCCCCGAAGGACUCAGCAAAGCAAGCUCUGCUGAGGCUGGCAGAGAAGGGAGUCAAAGCGAAAGUAUUAACAGGCGACUCACUAUCUCUGGCAGUAAGAAUAUGUGAAGAACUUGGCAUUAGAACCACCAAUGUAACAACAGGACCAGACCUUGAGCAACUCAAUCAGGAUGACUUUCAUGAAACUGUUAAAAGAGCAACAGUACUUGCUCGGCUCACCCCAUCUCAGAAACUCCGUGUGGUGCAAUCCUUGCAAACAGUUGGAAACCAUGUAGUUGGAUUCCUGGGAGAUGGAAUUAAUGACACACUUGCAAUAGAUGCCGCCAAUGUGGGCAUCUCCGUUGACUCAGGAGCUUCAGUUGCAAAGGAGUUUGCUGACAUCAUCUUACUUGAGAAAGAUCUUAAUGUUCUACUUGAUGGGGUUGAACACGGUCGCCUUACAUUUGGUAACACCAUGAAGUACAUUAAAAUGUCAGUUGUUGCCAAUGUAGGGGGUGUUCUUUCCCUUGUCCUAGCAACUCUGCUGCUAGAUUUUGAGCCAUUGAAACCGAGGCAGCUCCUUACUCAAACCUUUUUGUACAGUGUGGGUCAAAUCGCAAUUCCAUGGGACAAGUUGGAAGAAGAUUAUGUGAAAACCCCGCAGAAAUGGUCUGAGAAAGGCCUACCCAUGUUCAUAUUAUGGAAUGGUCCUGUGUGUACCCUAUGUGAUCUAGCAAACCUUUUAUUCCUAUGCUUCUAUUACGUGGGCAGUGGAUCUUAUGAGGAAUUCUUCCAUUCUGCUUGGUUCGUUGAAGGGCUACUGAUGCAGACCUUAAUUUUCCACUUGAUCCGGACAGAGAAAAUCCCUUUCAUUCAAGAGGUUGCCUCGUGGCAAGUGCUCUGUUCAACAGUUGUGAUUUCUGCCAUUGGAAUUGCAAUGCCAUUCACUAUAGUUGGAGAAUUCAUGGGAUUCACUAGUCUCCCAAUCUCAUAUUUUGGAUUUUUGGUUUUGCUUUUUCUAGGAUAUUUUACACUAGGCCAGCUGGUCAAGAGAGUUUACAUUUUAAUUUACAAAAAAUGGCUUUAGAGAAAAGUACAAACUCUUACAAGAAAAGACAUUGCACAAGAAGUUGCUUGGAGAGAGAGAAGGGGGAAAUUUUUCUUUCCUUUGCAUAUUUAUUGAAGAUAAGCAUAACAAAUGUAGCUUCCAUGCUUUUACAGGACCAUUAGCAUUUCCCAUGAUUACACUCUGCUCUAACAAUAUUAUUGAGCUUGCAAAUUUGCAAUAUGAAUGAAACAUAGAAGGAAAGAGAAAAGGAAGAAAAAGAAAGAAACCAGCCGCUUAGAUUUUGCCAUCUCUGUACCAUAUGCAACUCUUAUGAUGUCCACUAUAAUAUAGGAUGCAGAAAGAAGAAAGUAGCGAACAAUCCAAGCAAUACUACAUUGUUGAAAAUUUGCUUGGCUGGUGAAUUACCAAACUGGAGAUAAUUGUUCCUAAUGUUCCAUUCAAAAUCCCAAUGCUUUCUAUCAUUUUUGAGAGUCCAAUAUGCCCAUCCAAAAGAAGCAGCACCAUAAACCUCAAGUUGAGCUCUUCCAAAAUUUUGAUAAUCUUUCUGAGAUCCAUUUGUCACAUUCCAUUCAUUCACCCAUUCCCCAAUAAAAGCAAGUGGACCAUUUGCACUGCUCAGAGCCUGUAGUUGAGCUUCCCUGCUCUUGUAUACAUAUUGAAUAUUAUCUUCUGAGCUCAUAUUAACAAAGAAAGUGUCAAAAAGAUUGUAGUAAUGCAAAUCAACUACUAUGUUAUUAGAGCCUAUGUUAGCCUGGUACAGUUCCAGCGGAUCAGCAUUGCCAAUUCUUUGACAGAUGAUGACAUAAGCUGUUGAUGAGUAUUUUCGAACAAUUUGGUAGCCCUGUUUGUAAUAUGGAACCAAAACUUCCAAAGGAACUGAGGCAGCAGAUGGUUCAUUUAAUAGCUCAAUUCCUAGCAAGGCAGGAUGUCUAGCAUACCUUGAAGCCAGAAAAUCUAUAACAUCCAGUGUUUGUGAGAUAUAAUCUGGAGAAGUAGGCCAGCCUGUUGUACCAUCUCUACUGGAACUAUGUUCCAUCCCAUUUUGAGAGCCAGGAGCCGCAUGUAGAUCAAUUAUGCAUUUUAUAUUAUAGGCUUGUGCCCAUGAGAACGCAUUAUCAAGAGCUUCUAAGGAACCUCCUACGUAUGGAGCUGGAGGAUUAGGAUCAAAAGCAAUCCACCAACCAACAGGUAUCCUCACUGCAUUUAUCCCAUGUCUAUAUAGAAACUUGAAAUCUUCCAUUGUAACAAAACUGUUUCUGUGUUUCUUAAGAAUCUCUUUCGCCUUACUAUGUCCAUACCCAUUUGCAAGUUGGUAAUCUCCAUGCAAGUUAUUUACUACAAUAGUCAUUUCAAAAGUGGCUGCAUUAUCAUCCCAUCCUGGUUUCCCUGGAUAAUCUGCUGUGAGCUGGUUUCCUAUUGUAGCCUGUAGGUAAGCCCCACUAGUAAGUUUGACAUGAACUCUAUUGUUGCUAUUUCUCUCAAUAUAAAAUAAUUUCCCUGCUGAAGACGUGUUUGCAGUUGCAGAGAUUGAGCACCCUUCACCUUCACAUGUUAGAAACUGGCCCUGAGAGGUGCGGAACUGAAAUUCCGAUGCAGAGACUCUCCAUAACUUGAAGGUUUCCCAUGAAGAUGCAGCAUCUCUAUUUACUGCAACACCCGUGCCACCCCCAUUCUCUGCGCACACAUACUUCUGCAAUGUCACUGACUUGAAUUGAACCUCUGUACCAUCAAGCAUGUCUCCAUUAAGAAUGCCAUCAAAUAGCGAGGGCUUAAUCCAACCUUCCACAACCAGCCACCCUCCUAAAUUUACUCCUCUUACUUUAGAACCUCCUCUCAAUCCCUCCACUGAGUAUGCUCCAGAGAAAGUAGCCCACCAAGUUAGUGAAAAUGCAAAUACCCGUUUGCUAAGGACAAGUUCCAUGAAUAAUGCAGGCCCCUACGGCAUCAAUUGAGCCAAAAAUAUAGAAUCCAUCUGGAACAGCAAUGUUGGAUAACCCCAAUAAAGAAAUAAAAGAUCAUUCAAAACCCAUAAAAAAAAAACCACUUGGGAGAAUCUUAGUAAUCCCUUCCUUAUCACUCAAUUAAUACCAAAUUCAACAAUGUAGACAAGCAUAAUAUAUUUAUCUGGUUUUGCCUUUUCUUAUUGCAAGCAAUUACAUUAAUUAAUACACAACUUUUGGAAUUCCAUUAAUGCUAAGGAGUGAAACCCCAUAAAAAUAUAAAAUAAAAGAAGAAGGAAGGAACCACAUCUCAAGAUUGCGAAGGGAUAUAAAAAGGGGGACGUGAAAGUGUUCACAAGGUAGUGUGUGGAAAAGGAAAGGAAAAAAAGGGCCUUACUUUGCUUGCAGAUUUGGAUGUGCUUUUAUAAGUGGGUUUGGGUAUAUAUUUGAUUGGAUUAUUUGAGAAAGGCAAGCAAGGUUAAAAAGAGAGAGCUUUUCUUUUAACCAGGGAAUGAUCCAUGGCGAGGAAAAGGGUAAACAGAAGGUGGUGGAACCUUAUCUCUGCUACAUCCUACAUGGUUCUCGUCUUGUUUAAUUUCUAUCUCAG